GAGGUCAUGGAACUGGGAACUGAGUGCAGAAGAGGAGAGUGGAAUUCWCKGUAGSGGUGAAWUGCGUGAGAUGUGGAGGRACACCAGUGUSGAAGKCGWCUCUCUGKUCUGUAACUGACGCUGAGGAGCGAAAGCGUGGGGAGCGAACAGGAUUAGAUAYCSUGGUAGUSCACGCCGUAAWYGAUGAGUGUUAAGKUUAGGGGGUUUCCGCCCSUUAGUGSUGCRGSUAACGCAUUAAGCACUCCGCCUGGGGAGUACGGUCGCAAGACUGAAASUCAAAGGAAUUGACGGGGGCCCGCACAAGCGGUGGAGCAUGUGGUUUAAUUCGAAGCAACGCGAAGAACCUUACCAGGUCUUGACAUCCUCUGACAWCCCUAGAGAUAGGGCUUUCCCUUCGGGGACAGAGUGRCAGGUGGKGCAUGGUKGUCGUCAGCUCGUGUCGUGAGAUGUUGGGUUAAGUCCCGCAACGAGCGCAACCCUUGAUCUUAGUUGCCAGCAUUCAGUUGGGCACUYUAAGGUGACUGCCGGUGACAAACCGGAGGAAGGUGGGGAUGACGUCAAAUCAUCAUGCCCCUUAUGACCUGGGCUACACACGUGCUACAAGGGACAGAACAAAGGGCUGCGAGACCGCAAGGUUUAGCCAAUCCCACAAAUCUUUUCUCAGUGCGGAUCGCAGUGUGCAACUCGAGUGCGUGAAUCUKGAAUCGCUAGUAAUCUCGGAUCAGCAUUCCUCGGGGAAUCUUUCCCGG
rnacentral:rRNA from 1 species